rnacentral:rRNA from 1 species
CCUACGGGGUGCAGCAGUGGGGAAUAUUGCGCAAUGGGGGCAACCCUGACGCAGCAACGCCGCGUGAUUGAAGAAGGCCCUCGGGUUGUUAAGAUCUUUAAUCGGGGACGUAUUUUGACGGUAGUCGAAGAAUAAGCUCCGGCCAAAUACGUGCCAGCAGCCGCGGUAAUACGUAGGGAGCAAGCUUUAUCCGGAUUUACUGGGGUUAAAGGGCGUGUAGGCGGGUAUGCAAGCCGGAAGUGAAAUCUGGGGGCUUAACCCCCAAACUGCUGUUGGAACUGGGUGUCUUGAGUGAUGGAGAGGCAGGGGGGAUUCCGAGUGUAGCGGGGAAAUGCGUAGAUAUUGGG